rnacentral:lncRNA from 1 species
GAAAAAAUUAAUGAUUGGUGUUGGCGCGCUAAUUUAAGCUAAGAAUAUUUGUUUCUAAAAAUCUCCAAUGAAGUAUUGCGUCGUCGUAGAUAAUACUGUGACUUAGAAGGUUCCGACAGAAGCUAACUGUACGACUUGUGAUCUUCUACUUAGAAUAUUGUAUGCGAUCAAGGAGCAAGGCGGAUAUUGUUAUUUUACCAAGAAUAAAAGGAAUAUGAUAACCAGAAGAAACAACCGACAGCGAAGUCUCAGUCACGUACGCCCAACAAUACAGUAUCAGUCGUUGUAAAUGCGCACGAUGCGAUGAAGACAGAACUAUAAUUCACGUGAUUAAAGCUGCACUUUGAUCAUCUGUUUAGACUGCGUUGCCAUUAUCGUGAACGAUAUAUGUACUUCAUCGAACGUAUCGUUACAGACGCGGGUGCGGCAGAUUCGCGGGAAGUGCGUAGUCGUAGAGCUUCUUAAUAAUUAAUUAAUUAAUAACUGGCAGGAUAAUAUUACGCAACAGAGAAAAAAAGUCAUUUACUUUUGAGAAUUUCUCGUAAAAAGGACACCAUCUUUCUUAGACUCUUUGAUUGCUGUCCUUGAUACGAUUAACGAGUCGAUCAACGAAACAAUCAUAUGAUAUUAUCUUUGGCGUGGUGAGGUACAGAAUCAGGAUGAUGCACUGGAAAAAUCGGUGAAGGUCCUAAAACGAAUUCGUCAUUCUCGAAUGGAAAGGAGCGUCAGCUCCCAAAAAAGAAUGGGAGAACGGGUUGUACGUUGAAAAGACUAAAACAGUAUAGUUAUUGAGAAAAGGAAAUAUUGAACGGACCUGGUAUCGGAACGAAACAUCUUUUGCUGAGAAGACGCAGACUGCUUAACUUUGCCUAAACGUGAUUAUGUUAUAUUUAGAUAAUGCAAAUAAAUAAGAAUGUCUU